rnacentral:antisense_RNA from 1 species
CUUCACCGACCCCAUCAACAGCGGACGGUCCGCGUCACGUCCGGCGCCGUAUGCGGCGGCCGCGGCCUGGACCUC